GGGGACGUAGCUCAAUUGGUUAGUAGCGCUGCCCUGUCACGGCAGAGGUUGCGGGUUCGAGCCCCGUCGUCCCCGCCA
rnacentral:tRNA from 1 species